GUGGAUUAGAUACCCUGGUAGUCCACGCCGUAAACGAUGAUAACUAGCUGUCCGGGUUCAUGGAACUUGGGUGGCGCAGCUAACGCAUUAAGUUAUCCGCCUGGGGAGUACGGUCGCAAGAUUAAAACUCAAAGGAAUUGACGGGGGCCUGCACAAGCGGUGGAGCAUGUGGUUUAAUUCGAAGCAACGCGCAGAACCUUACCAGCCUUUGACAUCCUAGGACGGCUUCUGGAGACAGAUUCCUUCCCUUCGGGGACCUAGUGACAGGUGCUGCAUGGCCGUCGCCAGCU
rnacentral:rRNA from 1 species